rnacentral:tRNA from 1 species
GCCUGGUUAGCUCACUUGGUAGAGCAUGCUGCUCUUGAUCGUGGGGUCAUGAGUUUGAUCCCCAUAUUGGGCA